rnacentral:misc_RNA from 1 species
AUUCAAGCCUCAUAAGGAAGAUAAUGGUGCAAAUAACAUGUGCUCCCCUUCUGAGGAUUUCAGUAUGUCUCGUAAUGAGGAUGAAGGGACAUUUCUGUUCGAAGAUAAAUCUCCAGAAAACCAUCUGGACUAUCAAGGGAAGGAAAAAUCCAUAGUUGACAUGGACAAGAAUAUGAACAAAGCAUCAGAGGGGCAAUCAACGAUGGAUAAUUCUCAGGAUUCUUUAAUCCUUGAAGCAACUUUGCGCUCUCAGCUUUUUGAAAGACUAAGGAUGAGAACUUUGUGCCAGAAGGAGUGCCCACAAGAGAGCCUGGAAGCCGUAGCUGAAGGAAGAACAGAAAAUAAUGAGCUUGUGGGGAGGGUGGUAAUGGGCGAUAGAUUAUGCUCCGAUUCAGAGCGAGAGAUUGAGCCACAACAAGGAUCUGACUUUCAAGGUCGUGAUGUGAUGAGUACGAUGUUUAAGAUGCCUGCUGAGGUGGACCGUCAGGGCAACAAUGAGAAGUUUGAUUCUACUUCUGCAUCACCUUCCUCUUAUAUUUGUUUAGAUAGUUGUAUCAACACAAGCGAUGACAAAUCUCAGUUCGCAAGCUCAUUCACCUUUUCAUAUCCUAUUUUGAAGAGUGCUAUCUUAGACUUCAAGGCUUCAGAUUCCAUGGAUCUACUCAAAUUACAGAUUGGAAAUUCCAGUGUACAGACUUCUCAUGAUCAGGGGGAAGACAAUUUUGGUAGCAGCACCAUUCCAAGCAUUUCAAGUGCGGUCUCAGUUGAAGCAGCUUCACUGGAUUUAAUUAGCAGUAAGAGUGGGUCUUACUCUUGCAAUUUUAGCAUUGACCCGCUUUGGCCACUUUGUAUCUUUGAACUUCGGGGAAAAUGCAAUAAUCCUGAGUGUUCUUGGCAACAUGUUAGAGACUACUCUUCUGGCAGUAGAAUGAAGGUGACAUUGGAUAAUGAUGACAGGGUUGGAUCACCAACUCAAGUACAGCUAUCUUCUGCCGAAAGAACCCUUACCAAGUCACUUGACUGCCUUGGUUUGGCUCCCCCAACUUAUUUGGUUGGCUUGGAUGUUCUGAAAGCUGAUCUGCAGUCAUGUAAAUCCAUUCUAAGUCAUGAGUACAGCCAACUGUGGGUGAAGUGUUUCAGUCUUACCUUUGUUCUCUCUAGUCAGCUGCCCACUGAUUUACCAUUUGAUGGGCCGUUAUUUCAUGGCGCUAAUGCUCGUGUUGAGGUCCAGGGUGGUUGGAAUAGGCAAUCACUUUAUUUUCAAAGCAGAAAUGGAUCAUCGGGUCCAUGCAAGGAACUAUCUGCUGAUGAUGACCAGAUUGUAGAGAUGGCUCUUCUUAAUCUCAGUCAGGAGGCUAAUAAACCGAAGGGAAGAUCACAGGCUCUUAAACUCCUUGCUCGAGCUUUGGAAGUUAAUCCUACGUCAGCAGUUGUCUGGAUUGUUUACCUGUUACUUUACUAUAGCAGUCAGAAGUCCAUUGGAAAGGAUGACAUGUUCAAAUGUGCGGUUGAGCACGCUGAAGGCUCUUACGAACUCUGGCUUUUAUAUAUAAAUAGUCGAACACAGCUGGAUGAGAGGCUGGCUGCGUAUGAUGCUGCACUCUUGGCCCUGUGUCGCCAUGCAUCUGUAUCUGACAGAAAUGCUCUUUUCGGCAGUGAUGGCAUAUUGGAUAUACUUUUGCAGAUGAUGAAUUGUCUGUGCAUGUCUGGGAAUAUUGCUACAGCUAUUGAUAAAAUCAAUGAGCUAUAUCCCACAGAAGAGAAAUCUGAUAGCCCGUUCAGACUGUCUCUUCCUGAUAUCAUUACAUGCUUAACCAUUUCUGAUAAAUGUGUUUUCUGGGUCUGUUGUGUCUACUUGGUUGUGUACAGGAAACUUCCUGUGACCGUUCUGCAGCGAUUUGAAUAUCAGAAAGAACUUUCUUCCAUAGAUUGGCCGUCUACUGACUUGAACUUUGAUGAGAAGCAACGUGGUGUCUCUCUGAUGGAAUUAGCAGUAGAUUCUCUAGCAUUGUACAUCAAUAGAGAGUCUCUUGAAGAUGAAGCAAAUCUCAGGGCAGCACACCUGUUUUCGGUCAAUCAUGUUAGAUGUGUAGUGGUGCUUAAGGGUUUAGAAUGUAGUAAGAGUUUGUUAGAGAACUAUGUCACGUUGUAUCCAUCAUGUCUAGAACUUGUUCUGAUGUUAGCUCGGGCAGAGUAUGAUUUUGCAGAUGGAAGUUUUGAAGGUUUUGAAGAUGCUUUAGAUAACUGGUUUGACGAAGUUCCUGGAGUUCAAUGUCUUUGGAACCAGUAUGUCCAAUGCGCACUCCAAGACAGGAAAAGAGAUUUUGUUGAGGGAUUAAUGGCUCGAUGGUUCCAAUUUUCAUGGAAACACAAAUAUUUCCAAAAUAGUUGUCUGGAUGCUGUAGAUAGUGAUAACUCCCAGUCUUUACCAGAGUCUGCUUCAGUAUCUGAUAUUGCUGCUCUCUUUUCCAGUUCUAGCCCGAAUGAUUAUGUAUUUGGGAUGCUGAACUGUUCCAUCUAUAAGCUAUUACAAAAUG